CACACCACUGGUACUGCACACACAGGAGCGGUGCUCUUAUUUAGGGAAAAUAGAAGCAGCAGAAGGUUUGGGCGGGCUGUGGGAAGCAUGCGUGUCUGUGUGCUCUCCCUUGGCUGUUGCAGACUGAAGGAGCAAAGCUGGAACCCAGACAGCUUACACGCUCAGGUUGCUUUAGAUGCAGCCAUAACCCAGCAUGAACAGCAGGUACCUGGGUGGCAGAAUUUUGGGUGCAACUUUAGAAGCAGUGGGACUGCCACAUGCCUGUGUUCAGAAACUAAAGUCCAUCUGUAGU